GGUAAAACCCUGUCUCUAAAGAAUAAAAAGGAAAAAAAAAAGACUGAUACUAAAAUAACAAAUAUUUGAAAGUCAUAUACAGCUGCAUAUUUAUGCAAGAGCCCCAAAAUAAUAACUUUUUUAAAUAUAACAGAAAUUGUAGCUCUGUACUAAACUGGCAGGUAAUUUAUCAGAUAUGCAUACCAACACAACAUAUAAGUACUGUGUAAAGGAUUCAGCAUUUGAGGAAAAAGCUUUGUUAAAACAGUUGUAAUACAAAGCUUACCUGCUUCUUACCAGUAUUGUUUUCAUAGAAUUACUACAUCUAGGAUCAAGGCUACUUUUUUUUUUUUUUAAUUUGUAAAAUUAUUUCAACAGAUGUAAAAUUAUCCUGUCAAAUUGCUAUUAAAAGUUUCUAAGCACUAAUCUCUGCAUGGAUUGGUACCCAACAGUUGGUGAAGCAGCUCUGGUCCACAAACCAAGCUUUUAAGGCUACUCCUAACAAGAUCCUCAAUGACUGUUGUUUUCCUAUCAAUUUGUUUAUACACCAUGUUUUCUGUCAGUUGUCAAGAACUGAGUCAAAAUACUGUGCAACCUGUUCUUCUUCUGAAUAUCCACAAAACCACUGA